rnacentral:tRNA from 1 species
GCACCGGUGGUGUAAGGCUUAGUAUCGCUGCCCGGAAAGCAGUCGGUGCGGGUUCGUGUCCCGCCUGGCGUA